rnacentral:rRNA from 1 species
UCUGGUUGAUCCUGCCAGUAGUCAUAUGCUUGUCUCAAAGAUUAAGCCAUGCAUGUCUAAGUAUAAAUAGUAUACAGUGAAACUGCGAAUGGCUCAUUAAAACAGUUAUAGUUUAUUUGAUAAUUGACAAUUACAUGGAUAACCGUGGUAAUUCUAGAGCUAAUACAUGCUUAAACGCCCGACUUUAUGGAAGGGUGGUAUUUAUUAGACUGAAGCCAAUAUUCCUUGUGUCUAUUGCGGUGAUUCAUAAUAACUGAUCGAAUCUCUUUUUGAGAUAAAUCAUUCAAGUUUCUGCCCUAUCAGCUCUCGAUGGUAGUGUAUUGGACUACCAUGGCAGUAACGGGUAACGAAGAAUUAGGGUUCGAUCUCGGAGAGGGAGCAUGAGAAACGGCUACCACAUCUAAGGAAGGCAGCAGGCGCGUAAUUACCCAAUCCUGACUCAGGGAGGUAGUGACAAGAAAUAGCAAACCGGGAACCUCAUGGUUUCACGGUAUUGCAAUGAGAACAAUUUAAAACCCUUAGCGAGAAUCAAGUGGAGGACAAGUCUGGUGCCAGCACCCGCGGUAAUUCCAGCUCCACUAGCGUAUAUUAAAGUUGUUGCAGUUAAAAAGCUCGUAGUUGAACCUCUGUCUGGGGCUAGUUUUGGCUUUGGUCAGGCUAGUUCUAGGCAUCCGCCUACAAGACUUAGAGGGCAUUCAGUUGUUCACUAGGAGGAGUAGGCAUUUUACUUUGAAAAAAUUAGAGUGUUUAAGGCAGGCAAUCGCCCGCAUAUAUUAGCAUGGAAUAAUAGAAUAGGACACUUUUCCAUUUCGUUGGUUAUUGGAAUCGUGUAAUGAUUAAUAGGGACAGUUGUGGGCAUUUGUAUUUAAUUGUCAGAGGUGAAAUUCUUGGAUUUAUUAAAGACAAACUAACGCGAAAGCAUUUGCCAAGGAUGUUUUCAUUAAUCAAGAACGAAAGUUAGGGGAUCAAAGACGAUCAGAUACCGUCCUAGUCUUAACUAUAAACUAUUCCGACUCAAUGUUUGACUGGCUUAUAUAACCAGUUGAGCGUUGUAUGAGAAAUCAAAGUCUUUAGGUUCUGGGGGGAGUAUGGUUGCAUAGCUGAAACUUAAAGGAAUUGACGGAAGAGCACAACCAGGAGUGGAUUCUGCGGCUUAAUUUGACUCAACACGGGGAAACUUACCAGGUUAAAACAAUAGUGGGAUUGACAGUUUGAGAGCGCUUUCUUGAUUGGUUGGGUGGUGGUGCAUGGCCGUUCUUAGUUGGUGGAGUGAUUUGUCUGCUUAAUUGCGUUAACGAACGAGACCUUAACCUGCUUACUAGACUGGCGAUCAUCAAUCGUUAGCUCUUCUUAGAGGGACUUUGGUUGUUUU